rnacentral:rRNA from 1 species
GCAAGUCGAGGGGUAAUAGAUUUCGGUCUAUUGUACCGGCGCACGGGUGAGUAACACGUGGGAACGUACCCUGAAGUGGGGAAUAACGGCUGGAAACGGACGAUAAUAACGCAUAAUACCGAGAGGUUAAAGAUUUAUCGCUUCAGGAGCGGCCCGCGCUAGAUUAGGUAGUUGGUAGGGUAAGAGCCUACCAAGCCUACGAUCUAUAGCUGGUCUGAGAGGAUGACC